GGGCCAGACUCCUACGGGAGGCAGCAGUGGGGGAUAUUGCACAAUGGAGGGAACUCUGAUGCAGCGACGCCGCGUGAGGGAAGAAGGUUUUCGGAUUGUAAACCUCUGUCUUCGGUGACGAAACGAGACGGUAGCCGAGGAGGAAGCUCCGGCUAACUACGUGCCAGCAGCCGCGGUAAUACGUAGGGAGCGAGCGUUGUCCGGAUUUACUGGGUGUAAAGGGUGCGUAGGCGGCUUGGCAAGUCAGUAGUGAAAUCCAUGGGCUUAACCCAUGAACUGCUAUUGAAACUGUCGAGCUUGAGUGAAGUAGAGGUAGGCGGAAUUCCCGGUGUAGCGGUGAAAUGCGUAGAGAUCGGGAGGAACACCAGUGGCGAAGGCGGCCUACUGGGCUUUAACUGACGCUGAGGCACGAAAGCGUGGGUAGCAAACAGGAUUAGAUACCCCUGUA
rnacentral:rRNA from 1 species